rnacentral:rRNA from 1 species
CGGACGGGUGAGUAACGCGUGGGUAACCGUGCCCUGUACAGGGGGAGUAACAGCUGGAAACGGCUGCUAAUACCGCAUAAGCGCACGAGGAGACAUCUCCUUGUGUGAAAAACUACCGGUGGUACAGGAUGGCCCGCGUCUGAUUAGCUGGUUGGCAGGGUAACGGCCUACCAAGGCAACGAUCAGUAGCCGGUCUGAGAGGAUGAACGGCCACAUUGGAACUGAGACACGGUCCAAAACUCCUACGGGGAGGCAGCAUG